rnacentral:rRNA from 1 species
GAUGAACGCUGGCGGCGUGCCUAAUACAUGCAAGUAGAACGCCGAAGGAAGGAGCUUGCUCUUUCCGGAUGAGUUGCGAACGGGUGAGUAACGCGUAGGUAACCUGCCUGGUAGCGGGGGAUAACUAUUGGAAACGAUAGCUAAUACCGCAUAACAGUAGAUGUUGCAUGAUAUCUACUUAAAAGGUGCAAUUGCACCACUACCAGAUGGACCUGCGUUGUAUUAGCUAGUUGGUGAGGUAACGGCUCACCAAGGCGACGAUACAUAGCCGACCUGAGAGGGUGAUCGGCCACACUGGGACUGAGACACGGCCCAGACUCCUACGGGAGGCAGCAGUAGGGAAUCUUCGGCAAUGGACGGAAGUCUGACCGAGCAACGCCGCGUGAGUGAAGAAGGUUUUCGGAUCGUAAAGCUCUGUUGUAAGAGAAGAACGAGUGUGAGAGUGGAAAGUUCACACUGUGACGGUAGCUUACCAGAAAGGGACGGCUAACUACGUG